rnacentral:rRNA from 1 species
UACAGAGGUCCCAAGCGUUGUUCGGAUUUAUUGGGCGUAAAGGGUGCGUAGGCGGCGGAGUAAGUUGGGUGUGAAAUCCCGGGGCUCAACCUCGGAAUUGCAUUCAAUACUGCUUCGCUCGAGUACUGGAGAGGAGGCUGGAAUUUACGGUGUAGCAGUGAAAUGCGUAGAUAUCGUAAGGAAGGCCGGUGGCGAAACCGAGCCUCUGGACAGUUACUGACGCUGAUGCACGAAGGCCAGGGGAGCAAACGGG